rnacentral:rRNA from 1 species
UUGACGGAGAGUUUGAUCCUGGCUCAGGACGAACGCUGGCGGCACGCUUAACACAUGCAAGUCGAACGCCCUCGACCUUCGGGUCACAUGAGGGAGUGGCGAACGGGUGAGUAACACGUGAGAAACCUGCCCUGAAGUUUGGGACAACCACGGGAAACUGUGGCUAAUACCGAAUAUCUUCCUACCGUCGCAUGGCGGUUUGAAGAAAGCUCCGGCGCUUCAGGAGGGUCUCGCGGCCUAUCAGCUAGUUGGUGAGGUAAUGGCUCACCAAGGCAUCGACGGGUAGCUGGUCUGAGAGGACGAUCAGCCACACUGG